UGCUUGCACUAAAUGAAACUAGAUACAAGCGAGCGGCGGACGGGUGAGUAACACGUGGGUAACCUGCCCAAGAGACUGGGAUAACACCUGGAAACAGAUGCUAAUACCGGAUAACAACACUAGACGCAUGUCUAGAGUUUGAAAGAUGGUUCUGCUAUCACUCUUGGAUGGACCUGCGGUGCAUUAGCUAGUUGGUAAGGUAACGGCUUACCAAGGCAAUGAUGCAUAGCCGAGUUGAGAGACUGAUCGGCCACAUUGGGACUGAGACACGGCCCAAACUCCUACGGGAGGCAGCAGUAGGGAAUCUUCCACAAUGGACGAAAGUCUGAUGGAGCAACGCCGCGUGAGUGAAGAAGGGUUUCGGCUCGUAAAGCUCUGUUGGUAGUGAAGAAAGAUAGAGGUAGUAACUGGCCUUUAUUUGACGGUAAUUACUUAGAAAGUCACGGCUAACUACGUGCCAGCAGCCGCGGUAAUACGUAGGUGGCAAGCGUUGUCCGGAUUUAUUGGGCGUAAAGCGAGUGCAGGCGGUUCAAUAAGUCUGAUGUGAAAGCCUUCGGCUCAACCGGAGAAUUGCAUCAGAAACUGUUGAACUUGAGUGCAGAAGAGGAGAGUGGAACUCCAUGUGUAGCGGUGGAAUGCGUAGAUAUAUGGAAGAACACCAGUGGCGAAGGCGGCUCUCUGGUCUGCAACUGACGCUGAGGCUCGAAAGCAUGGGUAGCGAACAGGAUUAGAUACCCUGGUAGUCCAUGCCGUAAACGAUGAGUGCUAAGUGUUGGGAGGUUUCCGCCUCUCAGUGCUGCAGCUAACGCAUUAAGCACUCCGCCUGGGGGAGUACGACCGCAAGGUUGAAACUCAAAGGAAUUGACGGGGGCCCGCACAAGCGGUGGAGCAUGUGGUUUUAAUUUC
rnacentral:rRNA from 1 species